UACGAAAGGUGCAAGCGUUACUCGGAAUCACUGGGCGUAAAGCGCGCGUAGGCGGUCUUGUAUGUCGAUUGUGAAAGCCCUGGGCUCAACCUAGGAACAGCAGUCGAAACUGCAAGACUUGAAUGUUGGAGAGGGUGGGGGGAAUACCUAGUGGAGAAGUGAAAUUCGUAGAGAUUAGGUGGAACACCAGAGGCGAAGGCGCCUGCCUGGCCAAACAUUGACGCUGAGGCGCGAAAGCGUGGGGAGCAAACAGG
rnacentral:rRNA from 1 species